rnacentral:rRNA from 1 species
GACGAACGCUGGCGGCGUGCCUAAUACAUGCAAGUAGAACGCUGAAGGAGGAGCUUGCUUCUCUGGAUGAGUUGCGAACGGGUGAGUAACGCGUAGGUAACCUGCCUGGUAGCGGGGGAUAACUAUUGGAAACGAUAGCUAAUACCGCAUAAGAGUAGAUGUUGCAUGACAUUUGCUUAAAAGGUGCAAUUGCAUCACUACCAGAUGGACCUGCGUUGUAUUAGCUAGUUGGUGGGGUAACGGCUCACCAAGGCGACGAUACAUAGCCGACCUGAGAGGGUGAGCGGCCACACUGGGACGGAGACACGGCCCAGACUCCUACGGGAGGCAGCAGGAGGGAAUCUUCGGCAAUGGACGGAAGUCUGACCGAGCAACGCCGCGUGAGUGAAGAAGGUUGUCGGAUCGUAAAGCUCUGUUGUAAGAGAAGAACGAGUGUGAGAGUGGAAAGUUCACACUGUGACGGUAUCUUACCAGAAAGGGACGGCUAACUACGUG